rnacentral:rRNA from 1 species
UACGUAGGGCGCAAGCGUUUGUCCGGAAUUAUUGGGCGUAAAGAGCUCGUAGGCGGCUUGUCACGUCGGGUGUGAAAGCCCGGGGCUUAACCCCGGGUCUGCAUUCGAUACGGGCAGGCUAGAGUGUGGUAGGGGAGAUCGGAAUUCCUGGUGUAGCGGUGAAAUGCGCAGAUAUCAGGAGGAACACCGGUGGCGAAGGCGGGUCUCUGGGCCGAUACUGACGCUGAGGAGCGAAAGCGUGGGGAGCGAACAGG